GUGGGCGACCAUACCACGCUGAAAGCACCGGUUCUCGUUCGAUCACCGAAGUUAACCAACGUUGGGCCCGGUCAGUACUUGCCAGCUUGAUGUCAGCU
rnacentral:rRNA from 1 species